UGGAACUCCAAAAGGACAAAACUUGACCCCACGUGGCAUUCAUUUUCAGACAUAUACUAAUAAGUAAACCCUUGAAGUUUAUGCCAGCUGCAGGAGUACAGGAUUUUUUCCCAUGCUUUCUGUGAUUCAGCAUAUUCUUUACAGCCUUUCUACCCACUGCAAGAUAGCUCUACUUACUUGCACCUUCCAAGAUGAAUCCAGGUCCCCAAUGGUCAGGGCUGGCAGGAUCAGAAGGAAAGAUGAUCUGAAAGUACUGGCAAGACACUCUGAAGGACUAGGUUAUAAUCAGAUGAGAAAACGUGGGCAUAACUAACCAAUGACAUUCACAUGUCCAUACUGGCACAUUUCCAUGGCGGAUGUGUGAGUGUGUCACUACAUCUGGAUACUGAGCAUGCUGGGGUCCCGAGGCACCGCAGACCUACUGAAACCAGAGGGACAGCAGCUGCACUCAAUGAACACCAUGGGAGCUCCACAAAGUGAUGAAAGGCCUA